rnacentral:rRNA from 1 species
GACGAACGCUGGCGGCAUGCUUAACACAUGCCAGUCGAACGGGAAGUGGUGUUUUCCGUGGCGAACGGGGGUGUAACGCGGAAGAACCUGCCCUUGGGAGGGGAACAACAACUGUAAACGGUUGCUAAUACCCCGGAGGCUGAGGAGGAAAAGGAGAAAUUCGCCAAAGGAGGGGCUCGCGUCUGAUUAGCUAGGUGGUGAGGUGAUAGCUUACCAAGGCGAUGACCAGUAGCGGGUCCGAGAGGAUGAUCAGCCACACUGGGACGGAGACACGGCGCAGGCUCCUACGGGAGGCAGCGGGGGGGAAUGUUCCGCAAUGGGCGGCAGCCUGACGGAGCAACGCGGCGUGGAGGUCGAAGGGCUACGGGUCGUCAACUUCUUUUUUCGGAGAAGAGACAAUGACGGUAACUGAGAAAUAAGCAUCGGCUAACUCUGUG